rnacentral:tRNA from 1 species
AAGGUUUUAAGUUAACUAAACUAGUAGCCUUCAAAGUUCCCAAAAAGAGUAUUAAUCUCUUAAACCUUA